GACGAACGCUGGCGGCGUGCUUAACACAUGCAAGUCGAACGGAAAGGCCCUGCUUUUGUGGGGUGCUCGAGUGGCGCACGGGUGAGUAACACGUGAGUAACCUGCCCUUGACUUUGGGAUAACUUCAGGAAACUGGGGCUAAUACCGGAUAGGAGCUCCUGCUGCAUGGUGGGGGUUGGAAAGUUUCGGCGGUUGGGGAUGGACUCGCGGCUUAUCAGCUUGUUGGUGGGGUAGUGGCUUACCAAGGCUUUGACGGGUAGCCGGCCUGAGAGGGUGACCGGCCACAUUGGGACUGAGAUACGGCCCAGACUCCUACGGGAGGCAGCAGUGGGGAAUAUUGCACAAUGGGCGGAAGCCUGAUGCAGCAACGCCGCGUGCGGGAUGACGGCCUUCGGGUUGGAAACCGCUUUCGCCUGUGACGAAGCGUGAGUGACGGUAAUGGGUAAAGAAGCACCGGCUAACUACGUG
rnacentral:rRNA from 1 species